rnacentral:rRNA from 1 species
UGGGGAAUAUUGCACAAUGGGCGCAAGCCUGAUGCAGCCAUGCCGCGUGUGUGAAGAAGGCCUUCGGGUUGUAAAGCACUUUCAGCGGGGAGGAAGGCGGUGAGGUUAAUAACCUCAUCGAUUGACGUUACCCGCAGAAGAAGCACCGGCUAACUCCGUGCCAGCAGCCGCGGUAAUACGGAGGGUGCAAGCGUUAAUCGGAAUUACUGGGCGUAAAGCGCACGCAGGCGGUCUGUCAAGUCGGAUGUGAAAUCCCCGGGCUCAACCUGGGAACUGCAUUCGAAACUGGCAGGCUAGAGUCUUGUAGAGGGGGGUAGAAUUCCAGGUGUAGCGGUGAAAUGCGUAGAGAUCUGGAGGAAUACCGGCGGCGAAGGCGGCCCCCUGGACAAAGACUGACGCUCAGGUGCGAAAGCGUGGGGAGCAAACAGG